AUCACAACUGGGACUACUACUGCCUUCACUUUCCACAAUCCUUUAUAGCUCUUCUUUCAGUCCUUGGUAUUUGUCCACCUUCUCAUGCUCCAUCUUCCUCAUGUUAUUGUCACUGGGUAUUGCCACAUCCACCACCACUGCAGUCUUCCAUGUUUACUAUCACGAUGUCAAGUUGGUUGGCCAGCACUUUUUUGUCCGUCUGGAUCUUAAAGUCCCACAAGAUCUUAG